rnacentral:rRNA from 1 species
AACGAUGUGGGAAGGCUAAGACAGCUAGGAGGUUGGCUUAGAAGCAGCCACCCUUUAAAGAAAGCGUAAUAGCUCACUAGUCGAGUCGGCCUGCGCGGAAGAUGUAACGGGGCUAAGCAAUAUACCGAAGCUGCGGCAGCAGACAUCACUUAAAAUCAUUUGUUUAUUCAAGCUAACAGCAACGUGACAUUUUUUGUCACCUGCUGGUAAAGCGUUUUUCGAAACGUCGAGAGAUGUGAGGAGAUAAAGAUAAGUAAGUGGUUUUAAGGAUGUCUGCUGGGUAGGGGAGCGUUGUGUAAGUGGCUGAAGGCAAGCUGUGAGGCUUGCUGGACAUAUCACAAGUGCGAAUGCUGACAUGAGUAACGAUAAUGGGGGUGAAAAACCCCCACGCCGGAAGACCAAGGUUUCCUGUCC